ensembl:lncRNA
AGAAAUCUGUAUAGUAAAGAGCUCUGUUGCCCUUUAUGCUUCUUUCUAUACAAAUAAAACAAGCUGUGCUCGUGGGACAAAGACAUCUGCAGCAUCGGAGUCUGGUGGGCGCCUCCUCCUGGGUCCGUCCACCCCCAGGAUCACCCGCGGCCUGGUCACCCGCCCACGAUGUGAAAAGACUGUAGCCCACCAGGCUCCACUGUCCACAGGAUUCUCCAGGCAAUAACACUGGAGUGGGUUGCCAUGCCCUCCUCCAGGAGAUCCUUCUGACUGUCAAGACUGAGUCUUCUGCGUUGGAAGGUGGAUUCUUUACCACUGAGCCACCUGGGAAGCCCUUCAAUAAGCCAAUAUUUACUUUUUUAAAGGUGGUGAUCUGGGUCCCUGCUGUAUCAGUGACCAGGAUUCGUUGAUGAGGAAGACGGGGGUGGAGGGUGAGGUGACCGGGAGGCGCGCUUCCUCUCAUCGGGCCCCCACCCCCACGCUGGACCCAUGUCUCGUCCUCUGUUAGUGGGGCUAAGUGUCCUGCCAGACAGACCCUCAGAGAACCAGACAUGGGGGUGGAUGCAAUAAGCCUAGAAAAUGUUUGGAAAGCC